rnacentral:lncRNA from 12 species
AUAUUUUUUUUUUUUUUUUUUUUUUUUUUUUUUUUUUUUUUUUUUUUUUUUUUUUUUUUUUUUUUUUUUUUUUUUUUUUUUUUUUUUUUUUUUUUUUUUUUUUUUUUUUUUUUUUUUUUUUUUUUUUUUUUUUUUUUUUUUUUUUUUUUUUUUUUUUUUUUUUUUUUUUUUUUUUUUUUUUUUUUUUUUUUUUUUUUUUUUUUUUUUUUUUUUUUUUUUUUUUUUUUUUUUUUUUUUUUUUUUUUUUUUUUUUUUUUUUUUUUUUUUUUUUUUUUUUUUUUUUUUUUUUUUUUUUUUUUUUUUUUUUUUUUUUUUUUUUUUUUUUUUUUUUUUUUUUUUUUUUUUUUUUUUUUUUUUUUUUUUUUUUUUUUUUUUUUUUUUUUUUUUUUUUUUUUUUUUUUUUUUUUUUUUUUUUUUUUUUUUUUUUUUUUUUUUUUUUUUUUUUUUUUUUUUUUUUUUUUUUUUUUUUUUUUUUUUUUUUUUUUUUUUUUUUUUUUUUUUUUUUUUUUUUUUUUUUUUUUUUUUUUUUUUUUUUUUUUUUUUUUUUUUUUUUUUUUUUUUUUUUUUUUUUUUUUUUUUUUUUUUUUUUUUUUUUUUUUUUUUUUUUUUUUUUUUUUUUUUUUUUUUUUUUUUUUUUUUUUUUUUUUUUUUUUUUUUUUUUUUUUUUUUUUUUUUUUUUUUUUUUUUUUUUUUUUUUUUUUUUUUUUUUUUUUUUUUUUUUUUUUUUUUUUUUUUUUUUUUUUUUUUUUUUUUUUUUUUUUUUUUUUUUUUUUUUUUUUUUUUUUUUUUUUUUUUUUUUUUUUUUUUUUUUUUUUUUUUUUUUUUUUUUUUUUUUUUUUUUUUUUUUUUUUUUUUUUUUUUUUUUUUUUUUUUUUUUUUUUUUUUUUUUUUUUUUUUUUUUUUUUUUUUUUUUUUUUUUUUUUUUUUUUUUUUUUUUUUUUUUUUUUUUUUUUUUUUUUUUUUUUUUUUUUUUUUUUUUUUUUUUUUUUUUUUUUUUUUUUUUUUUUUUUUUUUUUUUUUUUUUUUUUUUUUUUUUUUUUUUUUUUCUUCCAAUCUUCUAUCCAGAUAUUCGCCCUCAGACAGUUAGAACCUUCAAAGUUCCAAAAGUAUGUGACUAACUUCAUCAGAGGAAUAUCUCUGGUGAUGAUUGCUGUAACCGCCACAGUCCCAUCAGUAAGUGUCCCAGCCCUCAGCAACUCCAUUCAAACAUUAUCUGCUGUAUCUGUGUACAGUAACUUUAUGUUAAGCGAGAGUCUGGACAGGUUUUAA